ensembl:snoRNA SNORA62 Small nucleolar RNA SNORA62/SNORA6 family
AUUACACAUGUAUUGCUUUGAUAAGCAGGAAAAAAAGGUUUAAAAAAACUAAAUGAGGUAGUGUGCUACAUGAGGGGCAAGUUUUUCGCUAACAUCCCAAGGGUCUCUGGCCCAAUGAGUGGAGUUUGAUAGUAAUACUUGCUACAAAU